AUGCCCCUCCCCCAAAAAUCAUCCGACGAAGCCCUACAUCUCUCUUGCUCUCGCCGUCGACCCGACGAAGUCUCGCUGAUCCCGUUCUCUCUCUCACUCCGACCGCCGCCGAUCCGACAAGACUCGUUGAUCUCUACAGUCGCCGACGACCCGACGAAGUGCCCAACUCUCGCCGCCGACGGGAUCAGAACUGCUGGAUCUCCCUCAAGCCCCAAAAAUAGGGAUCCGACGCUGCAGCACAUGUAUAUGUUAAAUUGUUCAAAAUUGGCAGUUUGAAAUGGCUUCAUCAUCAACUGUGGAAGGUAACUCAUGUGUUGAAGUUGAUAUUAGAUUCAUAUUGAAACAAUGCGAGAGUGGUGAAUUAGCGGAUGUGAAGAUAACGAAGUCGAACAAGAACAAUAACCGUGGUAGAAUUUACUACUCGUGUAAAAGGCAAAAGUGCGGCUCGUUUUUGGGCUAGUGCAAGAUUUCAUCAGUUGAACAAAUAUCACUCGUCAUUGCCCCACCAGAGGCGUGUGACUUGGUUGUUGUACGUGAAAAAGUGUUGUAGAAAUGGUUAACUGUUAUAACUUUUUUGUUGUCUUUUUCUUUGGUCAUGAAAGAAAUUAUGUGAUGUGUUGGAAUGAAACAAGACUUUGUAAGUAAGGAAAUUAUGUGUUGUGGAAUCGGUAUUUUGUAAUGCUUCACGCUUUGAUGUGUUGCAAUGAAACAAGUUUGUUAAUUUUUGCUUUUUGUGUUGAAAUAACCGUGGUGUGUCUUCUACUUC